CAGCAGCCGCGGUAAGACGAACCGUCCAAACGUUAUUCGGUAUCACUGGGCUUAAAGCGUUCGUAGGCGGCCUAGCAGGUGAGGUGUGAAAUCCCACGGCCCAACCGUGGAAUUGCGCUUCAAACCACUAGGCUUGAGGAUGGCAGAGGUAACGGGAACUGAUGGUGGAGCGGUGAAAUGCGUUGAUAUCAUCAGGAACACCGGUGGCGAAAGCGCGUUACUGGGCCAUUUCUGACGCUGAGGAACGAAAGCUAGGGUAGCGAACGGG
rnacentral:rRNA from 1 species